AAUUAAAUACAAACAGGAAAUUAUUUAAUUAAAUGAAUAAAUGAAUAAUAGUCUUACUGGUUAUCUUAGGAGAUGGUGAACGACGGGGUGCAUAGGAAAUCCUAUCGUGAAUGUGGCUUCAUAUCGAACGGGGUAUCGAGGAUUGAUAUUUUGGUGCUCAUACCGGACAGGGUAUGGGAACCGCCCGUUUCACCCUCAUACCGAACGGGGUAUUGAGGGAUAGUAUUUUUGGCAUCAUACCGAACGGGGUAUGGGGACGACUGGUUAGUUGACAAUGUUGAAUAAGGGCUCACACAUAGUAGGGAUAUCCCUAUGGACGCCCAUAGAUACUAGU
rnacentral:lncRNA from 1 species